rnacentral:rRNA from 1 species
AUUGAACGCUGGCGGAAUGCUUUACACAUGCAAGUCGAACGGCAGCACGGGGGCAACCCUGGUGGCGAGUGGCGAACGGGUGAGUAAUACAUCGGAACGUGCCCAAUCGUGGGGGAUAACGUAGCGAAAGCUACGCUAAUACCGCAUACGAUCUACGGAUGAAAGCGGGGGAUCGCAAGACCUCGCGCGAAUGGAGCGGCCGAUGGCAGAUUAGGUAGUUGGUGGGGUAAAGGCUCACCAAGCCGACGAUCUGUAGCUGGUCUGAGAGGACGACCAGCCACACUGGGACUGAGACACGGCCCAGACUCCUACGGGAGGCAGCAGUGGGGAAUUUUGGACAAUGGGCGCAAGCCUGAUCCAGCCAUUCCGCGUGCAGGAUGAAGGCCUUCGGGUUGUAACUGCUUUUGUACGGUAACGAAACGGCCCUUCUAUACAGAGGCGUAAUGACGGUACCGUAACGAAUAAG